rnacentral:rRNA from 1 species
AUGUCUUUUUCUGUCCAAUCAUAUAUGCUGCCAUGUAAUUUUUGUACCAAUUUUUUUGAUGAUAUACUCUAUGAUGCAGCAACUCGAUUUAAUUUGUGCAUGAUUAGUCAUCUAUUAAAUAAAUCAUCUAUGAAGGAAGGCAAGGGAAACUCAAACAAUCAUUUAGUUCUACAAGCAUGUACACCAUUUCAAGAAAGUAGUAUUAAAAAUUUGGUUGUUUUCCCAAGAUUAUCAAAAGAGAAACAUGGUAUGGAGUUUGUAUAUAAUCAACAUAUACAACACUUCUUUGUAGAAUAUGAUAUGUGA